GGCGUAGUGCACUAGGAAAAAAUGAAUGGGAGGUUCUACAUUUUUUCCAAGUAAAAACAUUUUCUUUCUUGCAACAGCAGCAUAUGUGUGUUUCACCCUGGAUGUUGUCAAAGGAGCCUCUGCUAUUUCCUAACAUGGUUGUUUAUUUCAAAGUGAUGAGUGGGCUAAUUCAAGAUUUGUGUUUCAACAACAGGUGUCUGACAUGUACUUGCCCACCAUAUAGGCAAGAUAUAUACUCUUCCCCACAGAAAGACUGAGCAGAACACAAAGCUGCAUGUGACCAGAGUGUCUCCUGAAAUUCUUGAAAGGAAAUAAACAUGUUAUUCUGCUGAUGUGUUCCCAUGCUACGAUAAGCUCGUGCCAGGACAUUCCUACCCAAGUUAGUGACUAAUCAGAUGUGCCGAUGAAAAGCACACCCUCCGGUGUCGUCAUAACCCGGAUGUUUGCACACGACACCCAGGUUCUUGGGCCUCCUGUCAAUAAAUCCCAAAGAGUGUUUUGUAAUCCAAUGUGUUUGUUUAGCAAACCAGGAUACAAGUAAAGGUCAAAAGGCUACCUCUUUAUUAUCCAAUAAAUGCCCAUUCUGGGCACCACUCUU